GUGUGAGAGAUUCACCAAGAAGAGGCAGAGAGGGAAGAGACGAGAGGAAGAGGCCUGCCUCCAGAUCCUGUCUGAGGCUGUGUUGUGUAGAGGGGAGGAGACACACCUCGCUGCUAGAAAAAUAUUACCCUGACAGCAAGAAACUGCCUUUGCUCAAGAUACUGCAUCAUCCUCAGACUUCCCAUCCACCUGCUGAUCUGCUAAUCUUCAAAUUUCAGUUUCUGAUCCAUAAUUUUGCUUUUACUGGACUCGUUUCAUCCUGUCCUGCAGGAUCCGAGAAAAGGUGCUGCAUCUCAAAUCUAACCAACGGGUGCCGGCCCGGUAGGUCCAACAGUCUGCGAAUGUCUGCAACAACAUGACCAGCGUCAACUCUCCAGCCAGCCUGCUCGCUCGCAACCACUUCUACAGAAGUUUGCCCUCAAGCCCAGAAGCGAUGAGCCCAACCUUGAGCCGUCAGAACGACUCCAACAUGCACAAACAGAACCAGGUCACCCUUUGGAUCAGCAUGGGAGCUCCUCCUGGACUACCCCUUGCCAUGGGAACCAAAGGACUAUCGGUGGAGAUUGUUCUGGGUCCGUCUCCCAGCACCAAACGCCGCAAACCCAGAGACCAACACGUCAAGUAGACAAAGCAGAAGCAUCUGAUUGGUUAACAGACUGACCAUCAUCUUUGAUGCCCAGGAGUUCACAGAAAAUACAUAAACAUGCAGGGAAACGGUGAACCUUUGCGGACAGAAGCCUGCUGAUUGAUUUCAUUCGCUGAGUUAAAUUUGAGGCCUUGUUCCUGAAUCCUUUCAAACACCGAGUUCCCCAAAGUAAAGCAUGCAACAAAUGCAGGAAUGAGAGUUUGUGUAACUAUCCAUCUAUAUGUUUGUCCCCGUCAUAAAUGUAUUUUUUUAACUUUG